UUGUUACAAAAUUUGGGAGGCACAUGGCGAUGUGGUACAGAGCUAGAUUUGUCCUCUACACGUUUCUGGAGGCUUCACACCCUUCAUAUGGAGCCUCCGACCACAUUCUAGUUUACGCCUCCGCAAUGGAUUAGUUUACUGAGAUGGGCGCAAAUAUACAGUACCAGUCAAAAGUUUGGACACACCUACUCAUAUUUAAGGUCGAGAGCCAUGCGUCCUCCGAAACACAACCCAACCAAGCAGCGCUGCUACUUGACACAAGGGCUACUUAACCCGGAAGCCAGCCGUACCAAUGUGUCGGAGGAAACACGCACAGUGGCGACCGUGUCAGCGUGCACUGCGCAUGGCCCGCAACAGGAGUCGCUAGUGCGCGAUGGGACAAGGACAUCCCUGCCUGCCAAACCCUCCCCUAACCCGGACGACGCUGGGCCAAUUGUGUGCCGCCCCAUGGGUCUCCCGGUCGCGGCCAGCUGCGACAGAGCCUGGACUCGAACCCAGAAUCUCUAGUGGCACUGCAAAUAAAACAAUCUCGGUCGACCAACAGCCAACUAAUCGAAUAAUUGGGGUCUGCCCCAGAUUUCGAUCACCCGAAGGAAGCGCAGAACCAUACCUCGUCAUGCUGAUCAGGGUGAAAUUCAAUGGUGAACGAAAAUAUGUGAAGAUCAUUGACCUGACACUUGAAAAUCUUUUGAUUGGAGUUUCAGAGGCAAAGCUGUGUGAUGGGUCUGGAACUGAAGUUGAUUAUAUUAUAUAUUAUAUUAUGAGGAGGUGGUGACACGGCCAGACCUUGGUGUUUUCAUGCUCACGCUGACCAAUGAUGCUAAAGAUGUCUCUGGCAGUACUGUGAUGGGUGGUUCAGACCAUGAGUCAGUUGAUACGAUCAUAUUGAGCGAGGAUGGAAGCCCCUCACGAAAGCGUCAAAGAUAUGAUGACGAAGCAAAACAUAGAGCAUACUGAAGAAAAAGCCUGGUGGAGAGGUUGUCAUCAAGGGAUACUCCAAAACUAAAAGCCUGACUGACUGCACCAGACUAAAGAUGAUCAACAUUCUUGUUUCGGCGAUGACGGCGACUCAUGGGACAUCACCACCGCGUGAGAGAAACAUUUGUACAAGGCAUCAUCUCCUUGUUCCUAUACCUGAAGGAUUCCUACACGACAAAUGGAUAUGAACAUUACUACGACCCUAAUAGUGGAGAAGGGUACCUCUCGUAUAGAAUCAAAACCAUUCAGAGGAAUUUGGCUUCAUCAGAGAAACGGCCCACUCAACUAUACUCUGGAGGGCCAACUGCUUAGAGGGAGUCCAGUCCAUCCACUUUGGCUACCCUGAGGGAAGACCAGUGCAGAGAGGCCAUUUAUCUUAUGAAGCAUUCUUCUGAUGAAGAAACAGUCAAACAGAAGAUGAAAUUGACCUUUGAGUACAGGAAGAUGACCUACGACCCGAGUAAAUGCUCCACCAUCCUAACCGAAUUUCCACGCUUUCUUGAUGUGAAGGGUUUGAUAUUGAACAUGAUUUUGUGCUGCUGUUUGGAGAGGGAACAUCAGUCAAGUUUUUGGAGAGGUGGCCAACUACAUUCAAGCAAAAGAUCAUCCUUCUAAGCAAAAACCUAAGCAAGGCAGAAUCUGCAGUUGAUGAGGGAGCUGAGGGAUGAGGGAGCUGACACGAAUGCUGAUGGUUACCGAAACACCACUUCAUGAUACAUUAUCCUCGUUGUAUGCGCUACGAGGCAAAACAUAAUUUCUUUAAAAAGCAACUGAAGAGUUUUAAGAAUUUCACUAUGACCUUAGCCAAGAAACAACAAAAUGACAUGGCAUAUAAUUGGGAAACGUUCAGCCAGGGUAGACUAGCUAUCAGCCAGGGUAGACUAGCUAUAGGUCCAGGAAAGAUGUCAAGGCUCAAUGACCUGAAUGAAAGCCAUGAGAUUGCUACCAAGUUGAAUGUCUCAGUGCACACAAAUGUUUUGUCAGUUAAAUGGGUUAAGCACCAUGGUACAGAAUAUCGUCUUGAUUUGGCCAUAUGUGGUGAAGUAGCCAUUGAAGUGCCAGUAUUUUACAAAAUGAAGGCUAUUGUUCUGAAAGAGGAAAAUGUUUUUUUGGUUAGGUCAGCUCUUGAAAUCUUAUGUUUUGUUGAUCAUUUGCAUGCAUUUGAAGUUGUUUUGAAGCCAAGUCCACCAUGCAAGGUAUUUCAUGUAAAUGACAUCAUGUACCACAAACCUUUUGAUUUGCUCAUGUCAAAUGGAGCAAGGGAUUGUUUUGACUACAUUAACAGUUUAAGCCAGGGCUGAUACUUAUGGUUAGGUUGUGAAAAACACGUUUGUUUUUAAUGUAAAUGUCAGCAUUUUCCAACAAACCUAUUGAUUUGCUCAUGUCAUAUGGAGCAAGGGAUUCUUUUGACUAGAUUCUACUCUCACUUGAUAACAGUUUCAACCAGGGCUGGGACUUAUGGUUUGGUCAUAAUGAACAUAUUUGAAUCUUGAAA